UGGGGAAUAUUGCACAAUGGGGGAAACCCUGAUGCAGCGACGCCGCGUGAAGGAAGAAGUAUCUCGGUAUGUAAACUUCUAUCAGCAGGGAAGAUAAUGACGGUACCUGACUAAGAAGCCCCGGCUAACUACGUGCCAGCAGCCGCGGUAAUACGUAGGGGGCAAGCGUUAUCCGGAUUUACUGGGUGUAAAGGGAGCGUAGACGGACUGGCAAGUCUGAUGUGAAAAAGCCCGGGGGACUCAACCCCCAGGGACUGCAUUUGGAAACUGUCAGUCUAGAGUGUCGGAGGGGUAAGUGGAAUUCCUAGUGUAGCGGUGAAAUGCGUAGAUAUUAGGAGGAACACCAGUGGCGAAGGCGGCUUACUGGACGAUAACUGACGUUGAGGCUCGAAAGCGUGGGGAGCAAACAGGAUUAGAUACC
rnacentral:rRNA from 1 species